GACGAACGCUGGCGGCGUGCCUAAUACAUGCAAGUAGGACGCAGUUGCGAACGGGUGAGUAAGGCGUAGGUAACUGCCUAUUAGUGGGGGCUAACUAUUGGAAACGAUAGCGAAUACCGCCUACUAGUAGAUGGACCUGCGUUGUAUUAGCUUGUAGGUAGGGUAAUUGCCUACCUAGGCGACGAUACAUAGCCGAGCUGGGAGGGUGGACGGGCCACACGGGACCUGGACACGGGCCAGGCCUCUACGGGGGGCAGCAGGUGGGGAUUAUCGGCAAAGGGGGGAACGCCUAACAAGGACCGGCGCGUGAGUGAAGAAGGGUCUUGGAGUGUAAAGCUCUUUUGUGAAGGAAGCGUUACUUAACGAGAAAGGGACGGCUAACUACGUGCCAGCAGCCGCGGUAAUAC
rnacentral:rRNA from 1 species